rnacentral:rRNA from 1 species
AACGCUAGCUACAGGCUUAACACAUGCAAGUCGAGGGGCAGCGGGAAUCUAGCUUGCUAGAUUUGCCGGCGACCGGCGCACGGGUGAGUAACACGUAUCCAACCUGGCCCAUACUCGGGUAUAGCCUCUCGAAAGGGAGAUUAAUCCCCGAUGUUGUUGGAUUACCGCAUGGUUUUUCAACCAAAGAAUUUCGGUAUGGGAUGGGGAUGCGUUCCAUUAGCUUGUUGGCGGGGUAACGGCCCACCUAGCCGACGAUGGAUAGGGGUUCUGAGAGGAAGGUCCCCCACAUUGGAACUGGGACACGGUCCAAACUCCUACGGGAGGCAGCAGCGAGGAAUAUUGGUCAAUGGACGCAAGUCUGAACCAGCCAAGUAGCGUGAAGGAUGACUGCCCUAUGGGUUGUAAACUUCUUUUGCCGUAGAACAAAACAUGCCACGUGUGGCAUUUUGCGUGUAUACGUUGAAUAAGCAUCGGCUAACUCCGUGCCAGCAGCCGCGGUAAUACGGAGGAUGCGAGCGUUAUCCGGAUUUAUUGGGUUUAAAGGGAGCGUAGGUGGUCUUAUAAGCCAGCUGUGAAAUACUGCCGCUCAACGGCAGCCGUGCAGUUGGAACUGUUAGACUUGAGUGUACGGGAGGAAAGUGGAAUUCGUGGUGUAGCGGUGAAAUGUUUAGAUAUCACGAAGAACUCCGAUUG